GCCAGCCAGCAGCCGGCCAGCCAGUCAGUCAGCCGACGCCGAAGGAGGUGGGUCGCGGUCGGCGCGGUCGGAGCGCGAGCGCAGUUCAAAUACGCCGUCCGCCGUUUCGCAGCAGUUCCACUGCGGCCCGUGGUCCCGUCCGCGUCGCGCCCAGUCUGGAUUACAGUGCAGUGCUUCAAGUGCAAGUGUGCGGGUCCCGGCCGCGGGGCUGGUGGUGGUGCGGCUAGUGCAGCUCAGCCGGUGCAGCCGCCCAGCGCGGCCUGUCAGUGUCAGUGUCUGUGAAUAGUGAAUGUGUUAAGUCAGGAGCAGUCUUCUUGACCCGAGUGCAACGUCGCUGUCCGUUGCGCAAGCUGCGCAAGUCUCGCCGACGUCAAGGAUUACCCUCUCUGGAUACCGCGGCCGCCGCGCCGCCGCCGUCGGCGUCCUGGUCUUUGCUCGUGUGGCGAUCAACAUGGGCGCCACGAUUCCUGUCGUCGGGCGUCCUAGAGGCGUCCCGCUGCUGGCCUGACCAGUCCCAUGUACUCGAGCGGGUUCCCCAGCGCGCCGGGGCCGCCGGGUCGCCAUGACGCCGACCUGGGCCUGGGGCCGGGCCUGGGGCCUGGGGGCCCGGGUCACGCCGCGGCCGCCCCGUCGCCCUCCUACGGCCAGUGGGCGGGCGGGGGUCCCGCGGCGGCGGGGCGCGGGCGGGAGCGCGAGGCCGCGAGCCGGGAGGCGGCGCUGCAGCAGGAGCGGCAGGAGCGCGUGAGGGAGUGGGCCUACCACCACGCGUCCGACGCGUACCCGCCCUACCCGCCCUCGCAGCCCUCGCCCUCGCCGUCGUACUCGCCGCAGCCGCCCGCCCCGCACCUGCACACGAUGCAGCCGCCGGCCCAGCAGCACUACCCGCGGCACGAGCCCUUCGAGUUCAAGGCCCCCCUGCAGCACUACCAGCGCCCGGCCGCCGCCCCCUCCCCGGCCUACGCCCCCCAGUACCCGUACCAGCCGGUCCACCA